rnacentral:siRNA from 1 species
UACUCAUAGCUAUGAUUGAUGU